GCCGAGGUCGCAUAGCGGUCGAUUGCACCUGACUUGUAAUCAGGAGGGGUAACCCCAUCGCAGGUUCAAAUCCUGUUCUCGGCUCCA
rnacentral:tRNA from 1 species